rnacentral:rRNA from 1 species
CGAGAUGAGUUCUCCCUGACUCUUUAAGGGUCCUGAAGGAACGUUGAAGACGACGACGUUGAUAGGCCGGGUGUGUAAGCGCAGCGAUGCGUUGAGCUAACCGGUACUAAUGAACCGUGAGGCUUAACCUUACAACGCCGAAGCUGUU